UAUGGCUGUGGAGACAAGUGAAACGGAAGGCGCAUGGGAAGUGGGAGGAGGAGGUGGUAACGAUUUUAAAUGGAGUAGUCAGGAUGGACUCACCGAGAGGAUCACAUUUGAGAGGGGUCAAACCGUGGAGGAUUCCCAGUGGGGGAACAGCUGGAGCAAAGGUCCUGAGGCAAGAGAGUGCCUGGCACGUUCCCAAAACAGCACGGAGGCCAAUAGGGCUGGAGCAGUGAACGAGGAGGUCCCAAGGCUGUCAUCUGUGGUGGCAGGAGGUUCAUCCCAUCUGCAGCCAGUGGAACCUUAGGAGGCAGUGCUCCUCUAUUUUAUUGCUGACCCUCCAGAGACUUUAGAAAGCAGCUCUACAGGCUGGAUACCUCUCAACCUGACCUCUGGAGACUGCAAGGCCCAAGUGUAGGAAAGGAUAUGGCUACUCACCUAUCUUUUUUUUUUCUUUGAGACAGAAUCUUGCUCUGUCACCUAGGCUGGAGUGCAGUGGCGUGAUCUCGGCUCACUGCAACCUCCGCCUCCCAGGUUCUAAUGAUCGUAAUGAUCCUUUUGCCUCAGCCUCCUGAGUAGCUGGGAUUACAGAUGCAUGCCACCAUGCCUGGCUAAUUUUUUUUUUUCAUUAGAGAUGGGGUUUCACCAUGUUGGCCAGGAAGGUCUUGAACUCCUGACUUUGAGUGAUCUGCUCGCCUCAGCCUCCCAAAGUGCUGGGAUUACAGGCGUGAGCCACCGUGCCUGGCAGCUACUCAACGAUCUUUCCAGCUCUCCUCUCCUUCCGGCCACACAGGAGGGUUGCGUGUCCACACCCCCCUGAAGUAAGGCAUGAUGCCAGAACUUGCUUUGGAUGAUGACACAGAAACAGCAGUGAUACACCACUUCUGGAUGGCAGCACUGAAGAGCCAAGGUGUGAUUCUCCAACCUGUCUUUUCCCUGGCUCUGUUCAGUCUAGAGGCCCAUGUUGAUAUGGAGGUGCCCCAAGGUCAAAGCCUGGAAUUCUGGGCCACCAAAUAGAGAAUGACUGCCCUGGAACAUCCCCUCAGAGCCACAGAUGUUGAGUCACUGAGGUUAGGAGGUGGUUUGUUACUGCAGCAGAACUCAGCCUAACCUGACUUAUUCACCAGUCCUGGUUCUAGAAAGCUACAUAAUCAGGGGGUAGGUAGGCCCAAAAGCACCACUAAGCCAGGGUGCCUCACCUCCCCUCAUUGAUCCUUUAGAAAGAAGGAAAGUCCGGCCUUCCCCAGCAAGGCAGUGCUGCUCUGACCUAUGCAUGCUUCAGGACAUGAGAUGUUAGUGAGCUGCUUGGUCCCAAAGAGCAAGAUCAGGGAAAGUGAGUGCUCCAGAGACACCAAUCGUGGUGCCCACCAUCCCACAGCCACCCAGAGGCCUCUGCCCCAGAGCCUAGGAUGACAGUGUCCAAGACUCUGGAGUGUGAAGGUGGAAAUGCUGUGAGAAUGAGGGAGGUGGGGGGAGGGCUGGAGGAAAAAGAGGUGUCAUGCAACCUGAUAUAGGAGGAGGUCAACAGAGUGGAAACACAGAGAUGAGUGGAAUCUGCACAAGAGUUGGGGGAGCAGCCAGGCCCCCAGGCCUGUCAGCCAGCCUUGUUUCAGGGUCUCUUGAGCAAGCCUGUGUUUCUUCCAUUCAUAGCAGGACUGUGCAGAAAGGCAGUGCCAACAUCCUAGGAACCUGCACCUCCUUUCUGGCCAGUCAACAAAUCCACCCAUGAGACUUCUCUCCCAGUCCCUCCCAGUCCUGUCUGACCCUUUUCUACAUAUACAGAGUUAAGUGCCACAAGGAGGCUCAUUCUGCACGUGUCCCCGGGGCCUAGAAUUCCAUUUGGCAUGGAGUGAGUGCUCUCUGUAUAUACUACUUGUGCCAUGAAACAAUUCUGAGUUCCCCAGGGAGAGCCAUCUGCUCCUCUGGAGGCUACCACCUGUCUUCCAUCUGAGCUUUUGUCUUCCCGGGUGCCUGAGUCAGCAUCUCUGUUAUCUGGCCCCUUCUGACCUCCCCUGCCUGCCGAGGGAGGAAUGAGUCCAUACUGCUCAUCACAGCAUCCCCAGGGCUCAGCACAUAAGUGGGAGCACCGGUCCCUGCUGUCCCAGAGCUACUGUGGCUCCAUGCCUGGUGCUCAUGGGAAACCACACCUGCACAGGCCCUGGCCUCUUGUGGCCAUUGCCUUCAGGACUUCUCCUCUUUCAUGCCCCUCUGCAUCUGACCCAAGACCCACCUAUUUGCCCAUCCCCCAUCCCCCACCGCUGCCCUUGCCUCAUCUCCUGACUCUGGGUGGUCCCCAAAGCCCAGCCCCUUGCUCUGGUCCAAGAGUCAAGGCAGGCCAAGUGCAAAGAAGAGGCUGGGCCAAGGGACACGAGUUGUACUGACUUUAUUCCCCUUCAUCCUCUCACUCGCAUGCCUGCUGUGCC
rnacentral:lncRNA from 1 species